rnacentral:rRNA from 1 species
UGGGGAAUUUUGGACAAUGGGCGCAAGCCUGAUCCAGCAAUGCCGCGUGCAGGAUGAAGGCCCUCGGGUUGUAAACUGCUUUUGUACGGAACGAAAAGCCUGGGGCUAAUACCCCCGGGUCAUGACGGUACCGUAAGAAUAAGCACCGGCUAACUACGUGCCAGCAGCCGCGGUAAUACGUAGGGUGCGAGCGUUAAUCGGAAUUACUGGGCGUAAAGCGUGCGCAGGCGGUUAUGCAAGACAGAGGUGAAAUCCCCGGGCUCAACCUGGGAACUGCCUUUGUGACUGCAUAGCUAGAGUACGGUAGAGGGGGAUGGAAUUCCGCGUGUAGCAGUGAAAUGCGUAGAUAUGCGGAGGAACACCGAUGGCGAAGGCAAUCCCCUGGGCCUGUACUGACGCUCAUGCACGAAAGCGUGGGGAGCAAACA